GCAACGUCAUUUGUUUUUAGAACAUUUACGUGGAUAAUCAAACAGUAACAUGGAUUUUAAGACAUUUUUUGUUCUUUGUCUUGUAUAUGGGGUGACUCUUGCUUCUCCAUUAAAUGAAGCACCUGGGAGGAAUGUGGCAAAACAUGUUUGGCAGCCAGGGAUUGUCAAUACUGGUCUUGGGCUACACUAGAUGAUGAUUCUCCUGGAGAAUGUUAUCUUUUGGAUGCAUGUGAAGGAAAAGAAAAUUAUCAUCACAUCUCUGGACAUUAUGACUGCACUGAAUAUCCAGAUAUUUAGAUUUUGUUUAUGUAAACAUUAAAUCUUCUUUGAUUAUGUAAACAAGAAAAUCCAUUUUGUUCAUGUUAAAAUAUUAAUUUUCACAGUCUUCUGUCUACAGUCUACUGUCCACAGUCUACUGUCUACAGUCUAAUGUCUACAGUCUACUGUCUACAGUCUACUGUCUACAGUCUACUGUCUACAGCUGAUGUUGUAAACUCCAAUUAAUUAAGAUUAAUUGUAUCAUGAUAAUAAAUAGGCAAAAAUUAAUUUUUAGAGGUUUUUGCAAUUAAUUUCAAUCUCAAUUAGUUUUCAAAUAAAUAUUUUUUUAUUAG